AUGAAAUACAGCAGAGGAGGAAAAGGCUGACCAGCUUAGUUCAUCAAACAAAACAAUGAGAAGAAAGUUUGGGUCUCCUCUGCUGGAAGCUAAAUUUAAAAAGUAAUAUGUGGUUUUACAUUUACCUUCAAUUAUAAUUCUAAGAAGGAAUAUCAGACAGUUGUAGAGACGGUGGUAAUGAGUACUUCAGCAAGGUAAGCAAAAUCUAGUUUGGUGAGCAGCACAUAAGGAACAAUCCCUGUGCAAAGUGGAACGUCUCCUUUAAUGAUCUCCUAAAUAUAUUACUGGAAAUUUACAGACUAAUUACCCCCUCUGUUGGAUGUCAGAACUUCUGCUGAUUAUGACUAACCUAUAAACACCAGCAACAGGGCACAUUUAGAAGGCAUUGUUCCAAUAGUAACGCUGGAGCACAAGGCCCAUCCCAGGAGAGUAUUGUUUUAGAUGUGAAAGAACAAGCAUGAUUUUCUCUGUUGCUCCUGUCAAGACUUUUUGAGCUUGUCAGGAAAUGACAAUCUCUUCAGACUUCCCUGGGUUUACAUGAAUUUUCCCCUGUUAGAGGAUUGCCUGCAGCAACCUCUUAAUGAAAAGAAGUACUGAACUCUGAAAGCUUGCUGAAAUGAAGUAAGACCUGGAUCAUGUCUGACCAUAGGAAAAGAUUCAAGGAAAGAGGGAGCUACUGAAGGUUAAUAAUCAUGGGUAAAAUAUGAUCAAAGUGUUUAAGACUCGAAGAUCAGGCUCACGGCUGUUUCAUUUGGAAAGUUCAGGGUUUAACUCUUAUGAAGGAUUAUCAGGAAUCACCACUGUAAACAGCAGUAAAAUCUGCUCAACAACUUGAGAAACACCGGUCAAGUCUGUAUUCCAAAUUAAUCUUUAGGAAAUGGAAAAAGGACUAAAAUAGAGAAAUGAGUGGUUGGGAUGAAAGAUAGGAGGAGGAAAAGAAAAUGAGGAUGUGUGAUUAAUGGCCCCGACUUCCUCCAAAGUAGCUCCCCUACUUUUUUGCCAUGGUAUCCAGAAUAGUCACUAUUCCUUAAAAGUGAGAAGAGGGGAUGGACUGAACAGAGUUAAAGGAGGCCCUGAACAGGCAAUGGUGCAUGGGUGAGGAUUCUGGAAGUGGAGGACAUCGGAAGAAAAUAAAACAAGAAAGGAAGUUUCUGAAAGGAGACAUGGGACAAUCAUAAAGACCGAUUUUGCUCACUUUC